rnacentral:tRNA from 1 species
UCCUGGGUGGCUCAGAUGGUAAAGAAUCUGCCUGCAAUGCAGGAGACCCAGGUUCAAUCCCUGGGUUGUGAA